rnacentral:rRNA from 1 species
UACGAAAGGUGCGAGCGUUAAUCGGAAUUACUGGGCGUAAAGCGUGCGCAGGCGGUUCGGAAAGAAAGAUGUGAAAUCCCAGGGCUUAACCUUGGAACUGCAUUUUUAACUACCGGGCUAGAGUAUGUCAGAGGGGGGUAGAAUUCCACGUGUAGCAGUGAAAUGCGUAGAGAUGUGGAGGAAUACCGAUGGCGAAGGCAGCCCCCUGGGAUAAUACUGACGCUCAUGCACGAAAGCGUGGGGAGCAAACAGG